UACGGAGGGUGCAAGCGUUGUCCGGAAUCACUGGGCGUAAAGGGCGCGUAGGCGGCCCGGUAAGGUUGCGGUGAAAGCCCGGGGCUCAACCCCGGGUCGGCCGUGGCAACUGCUGGGCUGGAGCACAGUAGAGGCGGGUGGAAUUCCGGGUGUAGCGGUGGAAUGCGUAGAGAUCCGGAAGAACACCGGUGGCGAAGGCGGGUCUCUGGGCAGUAACUGACGCUGAGGAGCGAAAGCGUGGGGAGCGAACAGG
rnacentral:rRNA from 1 species